GACGAACGCUGGCGGCGUGCCUAAUACAUGCAAGUAGGACGCAGUCGCGAACGGGUGAGUAACGCGUAGGUAACUAACUAUUAGAGGGGGAUAACUAUUGGAAACGAUAGCUACUACCGCAUUCUAGUAGAUGGACCUGCGUUGUAUUAGCUAGUAGGUCGGGUAAUGGCCUACCUAGGCAACGCUACAUAGGCGACCUGGUGGGGGGAUGGGGCACAACGGGACUGGGAAACUGCCCAUGCCCCAACCGGAGGGAGCAGUAGGGAAGCGUCGGAAAGGGGGGGAACCCUGACCGAGCAACGCCGCGGGAGUGAAGAAGGUUUUCGGGUCGUAAAGCGUUGGUUGUUAGGAAACGGUACUUAACCAGAAAGGGACGGCUAACUACGUGCCAGCAGCCGCGGUAAUAC
rnacentral:rRNA from 1 species